rnacentral:rRNA from 1 species
AUUGAACGCUGGCGGCAUGCCUUACACAUGCAAGUCGAACGGCAGCGCGGGGCAACCUGGCGGCGAGUGGCGAACGGGUGAGUAAUAUAUCGGAACGUACCCUGGAGUGGGGGAUAACGUAGCGAAAGUUACGCUAAUACCGCAUACGAUCUAAGGAUGAAAGUGGGGGAUCGCCAGACCUCAUGCUCCUGGAGCGGCCGAUAUCUGAUUAGCUAGUUGGUGGGGUAAAGGCCUACCAAGGCAUCGAUCAGUAGCUGGUCUGAGAGGACGACCAGCCACACUGGAACUGAGACACGGUCCAGACUCCUACGGGAGGCAGCAGUGGGGAAUUUUGGACAAUGGGCGAAAGCCUGAUCCAGCAAUGCCGCGUGAGUGAAGAAGGCCUCGGGUUGUAAAGCUCUUUUGUCAGGGAAGAAACGGUGGAGGCUAAUAUCCUCUGCUAAUGACGGUACCUGAAGAAUAAGCACCGGCUAACUACGUGCCAGCAGCCGCGGUAAUACGUAGGGUGCAAGCGUUAAUCGGAAUUACUGGGCGUAAAGCGUGCGCAGGCGGUUUUGUAAGUCUGUCGUGAAAUCCCCGGGCUCAACCUGGGAAUUGCGAUGGAGACUGCAAGGCUAGAAUCUGGCAGAGGGGGGUAGAAUUCCACGUGUAGCAGUGAAAUGCGUAGAGAUGUGGAGGAACACCGAUGCGAAGGCAGCCUCCUGGGUCAAGA